UGAGCCUUCCCGCCCCGCUCCCGGCCGUUUCCGGGUCGGUCCGUACGCCGGACAGACACACCUCCAGUCUCAGCGUUUGGGUGAGUUUGAUUCGGCUGGUGUCCGGGGAGCCGGGCUGCUUCCUCGGGACUUCAAGUUAAAUGUUUCGGACAACUCCAGCAGGUCAAGGAAUACUUCCCUGGGUCUCUUCAGAUGGAAAAAGAGAUUCCUGGUCCCUGAAGAGCUGUUAUAAAGUGAGCAGGGCCUCACUAAGAUCAAUGGAAUCCUCAUCUGGAACUCACCUACUCACAGCAGUGGCGAUAGCGGUACUCCUGCCUCAUCACUGUGUCAUAAAUUUUGAAACAAAAACAACAACAGAAACAGAGUGUCGUGGGUCUUAAUUUCUGGCAAUUGAAAGUCUAGAGAAGCACAGAAAAACUUCUCCUUUCUGGAAUCCUCUGAUGACCACAAGAGUCAAAGAAUUUUAAGAUCUAAUAUAGAUAGCAACCUGAUAUUUGAAUCACCUGAGGGUUAAUAAAUGUUCUUUGAUCUGCAAAUAAAGGGGUCAUGAAGGUUUUGUUAAAAUAGUAUUGAUGCUAGGCUCAUCCUCAGAACAACUGAAAUAAUUUCUGGAGUGAUGGUAUUUCUUACAAUUACCUAAGGUUUCCCAAUGGGAAAGCAGUGUUGAGAAUUAUUUAAGUAAAUAUUGCCUUUUAAGCUCUAAUAUACAUGUAAAUCUCUUGGAGAUCAGGGGUUCAACACUAGGAAAUUAUGAUUCAGGAAGUUUGGGAGGGACCGAUGAAAUUUUAUUUUAUUUUAUAAAUUUAUUUAUUUAUUUUUGGCUGCGUUAGGUCUUCGUUGCUGCAUGAGGGCUUUCUCUAGUUGUGGCGAGCGGGGGCUACUCUAUGUUGCGGUGCCGGCUUCUCAUUGCGGUGGCUUCUCUUGUGGAGCAUGGGCUCUAGGUGCGCGGGCUUAAGUAGUUGUGGCAUGCGGGCUCAGCAGUUGUGGAUUGUGGGCCCUAGAGCGCAGGCUCAGUAGUUCUGGCACACGGGCUUGGUUGCUCUGCGGCAUGUGGGAUCUUCCCGGACCAGGGCUUGAACCCGUGUCCCCUGCAUUGGCAGGCCGAUUCUUAACCACUGCGCCACCAGGGAAGCCCCCCAAAUUUUAUUUUUAACUUAAAAAUGGAAAUGCUGGGACACAACAUCAUUUCUCAGCACAAAUAGAUUUGAUUCUAGCAAUAUCACCCAUUACCUCCCCCUCCCCCAAAUUAUAUUAUUUGUUGACCCUUAUCAAAUUGAGAGAAGAAUAGAGAAAUCAGCAGUGUCUGAGCAAGACAGUAUUUGAGAAACAACAUGCAUCAAUUCACUAAAACAAGCUUUACUGAGCAUCUCCUGUGUGCUCUCAGGUUUGUUAGGCUCCACUGUGUACAAGGCACUGUGCUGGGGACCUCAAUACAUUAUGUAAUUUAAUCCUCAACAUCCUGGCAGUUAGUAAUAUUCAUUGCAUGCAAGGAAGGAAGAAGUGGAAAUGGUGGGGGGUGGAAGGCAAGCAAGGACAUCUAGGGGAAAUUUCAGAGUUGGUGGAAGAAUGAUACUGUGCUACAAAUUCUGCUGUUCUGAGACCUUGUCACUGGUCCAGGGGUCUAGGGUCUAGAGUCAGUGGAGGAACCAGGUUGCUGCUGCAGAUACUGAACCUGCGAGGGGAGAGUGCUAAUUGGAGAUCCUCCCCACGUGUGCAGCCUGUUGAGCAGGAACCGCAUUCAGACAGGUGCUGUGGGGAGCCUGUCUCUGGGGUAGUGUCUGGUUCUGUGGAGGCAAGUUGGUACCCUGUGCACAGGAGUGGGCACUGGAGGGACCUUGAGUAAAGGUGAGGUUACUAAAGACUCUGCUCUCAGGGCCUGUUGAUCCCCACACCCCCAGCUGCCCUUGGUCCUCAGUACUCAUUCUGACAGGAAGGCAUCUUAUGAGAAAUAGUGGCCUAACAUCCAAAACA